CCUUUGGGUGUUUUUAAAAAUAAAGCUUUAUAGCGG
rnacentral:rRNA from 1 species